UCAUAUGAUGAUCAUAUUAUCACGACGGUCAACAUAGCUUAAUAGCCUUGAUGAUAUCGCCUUUGACAAGGCAUUAUAUAUCUGAAA
rnacentral:snoRNA from 1 species